CCGCUGGGUUAAUGUGACCAC
rnacentral:snRNA from 1 species